UACGGAGGAUCCAAGCGUUAUCCGGAUUUAUUGGGUUUAAAGGGUGCGUAGGCGGCUUAUUAAGUCAGGGGUGAAAGACGGUGGCUCAACCAUCGCAGUGCCUUUGAUACUGAUGAGCUUGGAUAAACUUGAGGUAGGCGGAAUGUGACAAUUAGCGGUGAAAUGCAUAGAUAUGUCACAGAACACCAAUUGCGAAGGCAGCUUACUAAGGUUUUAUUGACGCUGAGGCACGAAAGCAUGGGGAUCAAACAGG
rnacentral:rRNA from 1 species